rnacentral:rRNA from 1 species
AGUGAACGCUGGCGGCGUGCCUAAUACAUGCAAGUCGAACGGACAAGUAAGAGCUUGCUCUUAUGAGUUAGUGGCGCACGGGUGAGUAAUGUAUAGCUAAUCUGCCCUACACUAGAGGACAACAGUUGGAAACGACUGCUAAUACUCUAUACUCCUCUCUAGCAUAAGUUAGAUAGGGAAAGUUUUUCGGUGUAGGAUGAGGCUAUAUUGUAUCAGCUAGUUGGUGAGGUAAUGGCUCACCAAGGCUAUGACGCAUAACUGGUCUGAGAGGAUGAUCAGUCACACUGGAACUGAGACACGGUCCAGACUCCUACGGGAGGCAGCAGUAGGGAAUAUUGCUCAAUGGGGGAAACCCUGAAGCAGCAACGCCGCGUGGAGGAUGACACUUUUCGGAGCGUAAACUCCUUUUGUUAGGGAAGAACAAUGACGGUACCUAACGAAUAAGCACCGGCUAACUCCGUGCCAGCAGCCGCGGUAAUACGGAGGGUGCAAGCGUUACUCGGAAUCACUGGGCGUAAAGGACGCGUAGGCGGAUUAUCAAGUCUCUUGUGAAAUCCUAUGGCUUAACCAUAGAACUGCUUGGGAAACUAAUAAUCUAGAGUGAGGGAGAGGCAGAUGGAAUUGGUGGUGUAGGGGUAAAAUCCGUAGAGAUCACCAGGAAUACCCAUUGCGAAGGCGAUCUGCUGGAACUCAACUGACGCUAAUGCGUGAAAGCGUGGGGAGCAAACAGG